rnacentral:ncRNA from 1 species
UAUCUGCAACGGCUUCCUGACGCAGUUUACAUUUCACUGGAGCA